GUGCCAGCAGCCUCGGUAAUACGGAGGGAGCUAGCGUUGUUCGGAAUUACUGGGCGUAAAGCGCACGUAGGCGGCUUUGUAAGUUAGAGGUGAUAGCCUGGAGCUCAACUCCAGAAUUGCCUUUAAGACUGCAUCGCUUGAAUCCAGGAGAGGUGAGUGGAAUUCCGAGUGUAGAGGUGAAAUUCGUAGAUAUUCGGAAGAACACCAGUGGCGAAGGCGUCUCACUGGCACUGGUAUUGACGCUGAGGUGCGAAAGCGUGGGGAGCAAACAGGAUUAGAUACCUGGUAGUC
rnacentral:rRNA from 1 species